CGUCAAGUCAUCAUGGCCCUUACGGCCUGGGCUACACACGUGCUACAAUGGUCGGUACAAAGGGUUGCCAAGCCGCGAGGUGGAGCUAAUCCCAUAAAACCGAUCGUAGUCCGGAAUCGCAGUCUGCAACUCGACUGCGUGAAGUCGGAAUCGCUAGUAAUCGUGAAUCAGAAUGUCACGGUGAAUACGUUCCCGGGCCUU
rnacentral:rRNA from 1 species